rnacentral:tRNA from 1 species
GGCCGCGUGGUCUAGUGGUAUGAUACUCGCUUUGGGCAUGUGAGUGGUCCAGGGUUCAAUUCCCUGCUCGGCCC